CACUCAAUGGACUCCUUGUGAGUGCUUUCCCGAGACUGAAAAUCGGAAGGUCGACGGUUCGACCCCGUCCCUGGCCA
rnacentral:tRNA from 1 species